rnacentral:lncRNA from 1 species
UUUUUCACAUUCUCUCAUUCUCUCUUUAAGAGAUUUUCUUUCUUUUUUCUUUUCCAAGAGAAGUAAGCUUAGUGAGUGUGAGUAAUGGAAGAAAUAAGCUUCCUUCAAGAUAGGUUGUGGCAUCCCAAAGAGGAAAUGGAGGAGAAGUUGUGCACACCACCGCAACAUCCACCGUGAAACAACUCUAUUUCCUUUUACUCUUUAAAAUUCU